rnacentral:rRNA from 1 species
GACGAACGCUGGCGGCGUGCUUAAUACAUGCAAGUCGAACGGAAAGGCCCUGCUUUUGUGGGGUGCUCGAGUGGCGAACGGGUGAGUAACACGUGAGUAACCUGCCCUUGACAUUGGGAUAACUUCAGGAAACUGGGGCUAAUACCGGGUAGGAGCUCCUGCUGCAUGGUGGGGGUUGGAAAGUUUCGGCGGUUGGGGAUGGACUCGCGGCUUAUCAGCUUGUUGGUGGGGUAGUGGCUUACCAAGGCUUUGACGGGUAGCCGGCCUGAGAGGGUGACCGGCCACAUUGGGACUGAGAUACGGCCCAGACUCCUACGGGAGGCAGCGGUGGGGAAUAUUGCACAAUGGGCGGAAGCCUGAUGCAGCAACGCCGCGUGCGGGAUGAUGGCCUUCGGGUUGUAAACCACUUUCGCCUGUAACGAAGCGUGAGUGACGGUAAUGGGUAAAGAAGCACCGGCUAACUACGUG